AUCUGGAGGGCAAGUAUACCUCUGAAGAUCCAAAUUUUUAUGUGGCAACUAUCACAAAAUGCUGUUUUAACUAGAGAUGUAAUGAAGCACAGGGGGUGGAAAAAAGAUCCAAAAUGCUCCUUUUGUGUAGCAAAAGAGACAUCCCAGCAUCUCUUUUUUACCUGCCCAGUGGCCAGGGUAACUUGGAGAGCAGUGGCUUGUAUGUUUGGGACUGACUUAUGCCCAAAUAAUCUAUGGCAAGCAUAUGUAUGGUGCCACUCGUUUUUCCCAGAAGGGGGAGUUUUUUACACAGUGGGCAUUGCUGCCAUAUGUUGGGCAAUUUGGACGUGUCGUAACAGAGUUACAUUCGAAUUUGUACCUCUGAGAAACCCUUUUGAACGCAUUUUCUCUGCUUGUGCUCUCCUUUGUUACUGGGCAGGGUUGAUGAAACAACACAAGGAUGCAGAGGACUUGAGGACUGGAGCGAACAUGUUGAAGAGCAAUGCUUCAAGACCGAUGCAGAUCUGUGCCGUGGCGCAUCGGGAUGAGGGAGCCUGCUGA
rnacentral:rRNA from 1 species